CCUGGAUCAGACUACUCUACUAACUACUGGUCUAAAACACACCUGGAUCAGACUACUCUACUAACUACUGGUCUAAAACACACCUGGAUCAGACUACUAACUACUGGUCUAAAACACACCUGGAUCAGACUACUAACUACUGGUCUAAAACACACCUGGAUCAGACUACUCUACUAACUACUGGAUCAGACUCAUUUCCACAGAAAAUGGAGCUGCCGUUCUCUGGUCUGGAGUUGACCUUCAUCAUGAUCGCCUUCAUCAUAUUCUCUCUCUUCAGCCUGGCCUCAGUCUGUACUCAGCCAGACACAGAGGAAGCUGUGUGUGAAGAGAAGAGGUUCCAAAGGAGACCAGACAGGAAGCAACGUGUCAUCGUCAAACUGGCCUCUCAGAAAAAACCCUAAACACUGUCCCAAACUGGCCUCUCAGAAAGAACCCUAAACACUGUCCCAAACUGGCCUCUCAGAAAGAACCCUAAACACUGUCCCAAACUGGCCUCUCAGAAAGAACCCUAAACACUGUCCCAAACUGGCCUCUCAGAAAGAACCCUAAACACUGUCCCAAACUGGCCUCUCAGAAAGAACCCUAAACACUGUCCCAAACUGGCCUCUCAGAAAGAACCCUAA